CAACCGAGAUUCCCCCAGUAGCGGCGAGCGAACGGGGAGCAGCCCAGAGCCUGAAUCAGUGUGUGUGUUAGUGGAAGCGUCUGGAAAGGCGCGCGAUACAGGGUGACAGCCCCGUACACAAAAAUGCACAUGCUGUGAGCUCGAUGAGUAGGGCGGGACACGUGGUAUCCUGUCUGAAUAUGGGGGGACCAUCCUCCAAGGCUAAAUACUCCUGACUGACCGAUAGUGAACCAGUACCGCGAGGGAAAGGCGAAAAGAACCCCGGCGAGGGGAGUGAAAAAGAACCUGAAACCGUGUACGUACAAGCAGUGGGAGCCUCUUUAUGGGGUGACUGCGUACCUUUUGUAUAAUGGGUCAGCGACUUAUAU
rnacentral:rRNA from 1 species